ACGUACAUCUAAAGAAAGUAAAUGAUUUUGAUCUCAAAUUUCUUUGUUAACUUUUAUUAAUGGUUGUUAUCUAAACUAAAUGAUUACUCUUGCCUUGAUGUCAAUUAAGGUUUUUUACACAUAUUAAAAAUUAAAUGUUUAAACACCAAAAUCUAAGAAAAACUUGACUUAAAAUUAAGAGAUAAAAAUCCGGUAAUUAAAAUUGAAAAUCAUAUGGCUAGAACCGUUGUUGCAGCACUGCAUCAUAUCCACAACUACCUACCGGAAGACUGAGUUCUGAAGUCAUACGUGUGCAAACAUCAUAUCUUCCAAGUUCCAAUGAAGAAUGUUGGGAUUGCGAAAUCCCAUGUCCAACUCUAUCUUAUCUUAUUAGUACGAUAUUGUCCACUUUGGGCCUAAUUUGCUGGUCCGCAUGGUUUUACUUUUGGUUUCCUUCCCAAAAGGCCUCGUACUAUUAGAGUUGAACAUCUCUUUAUAUAUUAGACACUCCUUGUCUAAUUAUCCAAUGUGGGACUUGGUUUGUUAUCUCACAUUCUCCCCUUCAAACUAAGGAUCACAUUCAUCUCGUGUCCCACAACUGACUUCCAGGAUCUUCUGACUUGAUUUCUGCCACACAUCUCUCAUUCCUAACUCAUAGGAUACCAUUCAUCUCUCGAAGGGUAUUUCGGUCUUCUUGCAGAUUUCUCGUCAACCGCUCUGAUACCAAUUGUUGGGAUUGCGAAAUCCCAUGUCCAACUCUAUCUUAUCUUAUUAGUACGAUAUUGUCCACUUUGGGCCUAAUUUGCUGGCCCGCAUGGUUUUACUUUUGAUUUCCUUCCCAAAAGGCCUCGUACUAUUAGAGCAACAUUAUCGGGGUAUGAUAGAGGAAGUCGUUAGGCUUUAUAUGAUUUUAUUUAAAUAAAAAUUGUAUAAUUUCGCUGGGACGGACGCGGUUUGUCGUUGGCUAACAUAUUUUUUUUUUGUCCUUAGGUGAUAGGUGUCGGCAAGGGAAUGGUGGAAGCGUUUUGGUUUGAGAAAUGAUUCACGUGUUGCCCUUUGGGCCUUGUCUCUUUGAGAAGAGAGAGAGAGAGAGUUGAAGAUCGAUGGCGGAAGGCGCGAUGAUCCCCAGCAACUGAAGAAGGGAAGCCAUAGCUUCAGGCAGAGGCUACUUCUCUGGACCCUUUCUUCGACGCCUAUCAUCAGGCAGAGGCUGAAUCCUAGCCUCCAACAUCACGAGAUGUCUCUCCUCCGCCUCUUCGAGACUGUCUCCGAUGACUGCGUCACACUUGCCCUCAUCCAGAUUAAAUUGACUGAUGUUACUGAUCCCAUGGUCAAUGAGAAGGUUGCUGAUCGGGUAGGAGAGGAUUUAGAAGGAGUUACCCACAAAGUUUACUUUGAUAUUCAGAUCAAUGGUUCACCUGAAUGAGUUACCCACAAAGUUUACUUUGUCCCCUCUUCUUCAUUGGGCGUAGAGGGAAAGAUUGUGGUUGAGCUGAUUUUGCUGGGCAAAUCUGGAUGCAGGGGCAAACAUUAUCUGAUUUUUUCUUAAUUGUUCUGAUCUUUUUUUUUUGGUUUCGGGUAUGUGGAUUUGAUUUUGUGAUCGUUGUUCUGAUUGUGCAAGGAGGAGUCUCUUGCACGUAGAACAUAGAAACUACCUUUUUAUAUAGUUUGUAAUCAAAGAUUUACUCUACUUAUUUCUGCUUCACGUUUCAUUGUUGA